UUUUUUUUUAAAGGGCAAGGAAUAUAGUCUACUGGUAGGGUGCUUGCCCAGCAUGCAUCAAAUUACUAGGUCUGCCUGAUCUGCACAGUGAGGACAGCUAGGGUUACAUGGAGAGAUAUAAUCACAAAAUAAAAACAAAAAUCCAUAGUCUGGAGAGAUGGUUCAGCAGUUAAAAGAACUUAAUGGUCUCACAAAGACCCAGGUUCAGUGCCAUGUAAGUACAAUUUGAGGGUAUACCAUGCAUAGUGCUACUCUCCAAACAAAACUCUCUUGUCUCCUUUGUACUAUUUCUAACACAGUAUUGCUGUAUGCACAUGUAAUGUCCACCUCAGGCUCGAGCAGCUGCACACAGUUCCCAGCUAUCGAGCUGGAUGAGGAAGGUGUGCAUUAUUACCAAGGGCAAAUGAGACCUGGAGGGCAGGACUUGAUAAUGUGUCAGCUCCACUUCCCACCUGGGCUUUCUGCUUCCUGGGUAUCAAUGCCACAUACCCAACCACAGCCACAGUCCAAACUGCUCCUGACAUCACACCUUCCCUUCUGUGACAAACUAUACCUCUCAAACCUAUGAGCCAAGCCAGGCAGUUGGUAAUGCAUGCCUUUGAUCCCAGCACUUGGGUGGCAGCAGCAGGUGGAUCUCUGUGAAUUUGAGGUCAGGCUAGUCUACAAAGUGACAGCCAGGGAUACACAGUGAAACCCUGUCCAAAAAAAAAAAAAAAGA
rnacentral:lncRNA from 1 species